GUAUCAGUGGGAUGUAAGCUUAUUUUCCUCCGGGAGUUGAUUUUAUACUCUUUAGUAGCUCCUGAGAGCCAUUUUAUACAUGUCAAAUUUCAUUCCCUAGAACUGUUUCCUGUUUAGAAAAUGGAAAACAUUUGGCCUGUUGAAGCAACUUCCACAUAAUGUUAAAAGACAUGGGAACAUGCUGAAAAAUCACAUAUCUCUGAAGAGACAGAAUGUCAAAGCUGGAAUGUGUGCAUAGAGAGAAGAUGAAUGCCAUUGUUGCCUCACAACUCUAAAAUUAAUCCUGCACCUCUUCUAGCACUUUUUGCAGUGCUUUAUAACCUAAGAAAUGUACUUAUCCCUGACUGUCAUUGGAUCAGGGCUUUAUAUGUAUGCAAGACAAUGUAAGCUAGAUAAUGGCUUUGAAGGUAAUCAAAUGCACAUCAAUACCCCUCUUUUCCCCUCACUUUCCUUCUUGUGAUGCAGGCACAUGUAACAGAUGGAGAAUAGCACUGUGGGACUUCCAUGAGCUAAAUAAUCAGGACAUUUGGUUUUCAGGUAUCAGUGCAGAGGGUGUCUUAGGGAAAGACAUUUACUGGUUUUUUAAUUUUUGGUGGUUCCCUAUUAGUGCUGAAGCAAUAACCCAGGUUGUUGCUAAGCAGAUGUACCCCAAGCAUCCACUGGAAUUUAAUGGAAGAGGCUUUGAACCUAUCUCAUCACGAUUUUACGUUGUCCUUUUCCUAGACAGAUGCUUUGGCUUGAAAACAAUCCUUGAAGCAGGCUUGUGAUUUGUGGCAUUCCACAAAGCCAAGUCUGGUUCUCCGUAAAUGGUCUCAGCUAUCUGAGAAACUUGAUUGUUCUCCUUGGCUUGCUAGCCCUGCUAAAAGCAAUACUCUGGGCCUCAUGCUUACGAGGCUAAUAAAACUGCUCAAAAUGAUAGCAUGAGGAUCAAGGACAGCAUUCAAAAUGUUUAUGACUUGUGAAUGGUUUUGACGACCCCCUUUUUUUGUUUGAGAAUGAUGCAAAAUAUUAUGCUCUGUAGUAUUUUUAAAAUUGUAUUUAAAUUAUAUUUUAUUCCCCCCCCCCCAAAUCAACUAUCGGUUGAAAUGCCGAAGAUGAAAUGUUUCUUUGUUCUCGUUAAUAAAUGACAGAAAUAGAAUGCAACCUUUGUUUUGUUGUUCAACCAGCUUCAAUGGUGGAAUGAUUUUUUCCUGUUUCCUUCAUUUUCUAAGAGUAUCUCUUACAGAUGCUUCCAAAUGUAUAAGGACUAAAAUAAGCAUGUCUCAAUUUGCUUGUGACUCUUUCCACGGUCCUUCUAAGGUAACCACUGUCUGAAUCAACAAGAAGUGAACAUGAGAUGCAGAUGGGUCCCUAAAGUCAUUAAUUGAGCCAUACUGGGAAACUUGUGGCUUUCCAGAUGUCUUGGACUCCAUGUUCCCACAGCCACAGCCAGCCUGCACAAUGGUCAGGAAGAAUGGGCAUUGGAGUCUGGCAACAUCUGCUCUGCUCUGCUCAAGAGCUCAGGCCAGGUAAUUUCAUCCAAUGAACAAAAUCACUCUGACAGGCUCUUUAUUGUUUCCUUGCAGCUGCCUCCUGUUAGCACUUCGAUUUCUCCCUACUUUGCCUGACUUCAUUUUACAAUUUUAGUCGGUAUUCAUAGCUGGAGUGGCAACAGAAACGCCAGCAAAAAAUAUGGCGUGGGUUAUUUUGAGUCAAAUGACGGUGACAUCUACAGUAGUGUCAGGCUUCAGGGAAUCUGAUCCCUCUCCCUCACGGCUGGCUGCCAGAAAUGGGAAAAGAAGAAGUUCUUACCAAGAUAUUUUGUUCAUUAUUCACAGAGAGAGACGUAGGAUGUCGCCUCUUGGAUAAUGGCAUUGCUCUGAGUAAAGUCCUCCCCCCUCCACCUCUCCUUUUUUUUAUUUAUAAAAAAUUUAUUAACAAUUUCAACAUAACAAAUUAUCAAAACAAGUCAUCUUCAUUAUUUCCCCCCUUUCCCCCCUCCCUCAGCUCCUCUCUCUGAUUUCUCAACUCAUGUUGUUCUCUGCAUACUAUAAAAUUAUAUACAUCCUUUUAUUAUCUAUCUACUAUAUUAACCCUCAAUA